CCUACGGGGGGCAGCAGUAGGGAAUAUUGGACAAUGGGGGAAACCCUGAUCCAGCAAUGCAGCGUGAGUGACGAAGGCCUUAGGGUUGUAAAACUCUUUCAUCGGUGAGGAUAAUGACAGUAGCCGAAGAAGAAGGACCGGCUAAUUCCGUGCCAGCAGCCGCGGUAAUACGGAAGGUCCUAGCGUUGUUCGGAAUUACUGGGCGUAAAGCGCAUGUAGGCGGAACAAAAAGUUAGAAGUGAAAUCCCUGGGCUCAACCUAGGAAUUGCUUUUAAAACUUUUGUUCUGGAAUUCAGGAGAGGAAAAUGGAAUUUCCAGUGUAGAGGUGAAAUUCGUAGAUAUUGGAAGGAACACCAGUGGCGAAGGCGAUUUUCUGGACUGAUAUUGACGCUGAGAUGCGAAGGCAUGGGUAGCAAACGGGAUUAGAUACCCUAGUAGUC
rnacentral:rRNA from 1 species